rnacentral:rRNA from 1 species
CAGUAGCCGCGGGAAUACGAAGGGGGCUAGCGUUGCUCGGAAUGACUGGGCGUAAAGGGCGCGUAGGCGGAUGGUACAGUCAGAUGUGAAAUUCCCGGGCUUAACCUGGGGGCUGCAUUUGAUACGUGCAGUCUAGAGUGAGGAAGAGGGUCGUGGAAUUCCCAGUGUAGAGGUGAAAUUCGUAGAUAUUGGGAAGAACACCGGUGGCGAAGGCGGCGACCUGGUCCUUGACUGACGCUGAGGCGCGAGAGCGUGGGGAGCAAACAGGAUUAGAUACCCCGGUAGUCCCUGUCUCUUAUAA